rnacentral:misc_RNA from 1 species
GCAAACUUGGUCAUUUAGAGGAAGUACAAGUCGUAACAAGGUUUCCGUAGGUGAACCUGCGGAAGGAUCAUUAACAAAUCGUGUGUGUGUGUAUGUGUGAUGUACACAUGCACAUAUAUGUGCGCCAGUAGGAUUUACUGGAAUGCAAAAUAUUCAUGAUAUAGUGUGUGAUAAUGUGAAAAUAUCAAAACCUAAUACUUUUAACAAUGGAUCUCUUGGCUCUUGCAUCGAUGAAGAACGCAGC